rnacentral:rRNA from 1 species
CCUACGGGUGGCUGCAGUGGGGAAUAUUGCACAAUGGGGGAAACCCUGAUGCAGCAACGCCGCGUGAAGGAAGACGGUUUUCGGAUUGUAAACUUCUAUCAAUAGGGAAGAAAGAAAUGACGGUACCUAAAUAAGAAGCCCCUGCUAACUACGUGCCAGCAGCCGCGGUAAUACGUAGGGGGCAAGCGUUAUCCGGAAUUACUGGGUGUAAAGGGAGAGUAGGCGGCAAGGUAAGCAAUAUGUGAAAGCCUUAAGCUUAACUUAAGGAUGGCAUAACGAACUAUCUAGCUAGAGUACAGGAGAGGAAAGCGGAAUUCCUAGUGUAGCGGUGAAAUGCGUAGAUAUUAGGAAGAACACCAGUGGCGAAGGCGGUCUGCUGGACAGCAACUGACGCUGAGGCGCGAAAGCGUGGGGAGCAAACAGGAUUAGAUACCCGUGUAGUC